GCGCCCGUAGCUCAGCUGGAUAGAGCGAUUGCCUCCGGAGCAAUAGGUCAGGGGUUCGAAUCCCUUCGGGCGCGCCA
rnacentral:tRNA from 1 species